rnacentral:rRNA from 1 species
UACGUGAGGGGCAAGCGUUGUCCGGAAUCAUUGGGCGUAAAGAGCGCGUAGGCGGCCCGGUAAGUCCGCUGUGAAAGUCAAGGGCUUAACCCUUGAAUGCCGGUGGAAACUGCCGGGCUAGAGUCCGGAAGAGGAGAGUGGAAUUCCUGGUGUAGCGGUGAAAUGCGCAGAUAUCAGGAAGAACACCCGUGGCUAAGGCGGCUCUCUAGUACGGUACUGACGCUGAGACGCGAAAGCGUGGGGAGCGAACAGG